AUAGGAGAUCUAGCUGCCACUUCUGUCACUGCACUAGCCAUCAGUGCUGACCUGUGUGAUCUUCCUGGCUGGAGCAGGGCUCCUCUCCACAGCUGCAUGUGUGUCCCUUCGAAGCUGCACUCACUUGAAAAGAACAAUGUUCCCUGAUAGAAAAGGACCACUCUGUAUAGGGGUUUUCAAGGAGUUGCCUUCCUUAGUCAAAACCUCCAAAGAAGAAAUCAAGAGUCAUAUUUUAAGUUUUAUUUUUAUUAUUAACUGCUGACCUCCUAUUGAUGUAUUAUAUCCUAAUGUCAAAG
ensembl:misc_RNA 7SK 7SK RNA